UUUUUAGAAACAGCAGUUCCAUACCUUGCCCUCUGCUAGGUGCUCUGCUAGGGCACGAAAUCACCUCCCAUUUCCAAGCUAGCCUAAGCCAUUCGGUACUCUAGCUCACUUCCUUGGUUCUGGAGCUGCCAUUUUCGGGGAUUGCGGAUCUGUUGUUUUUGGUGCUCAAUCGAAGAAGAGAGAGAGGUUCGAGAUGGAUCCGGGAGACGCAGCGGUGCGAUCUAGUUUGUCUGUCUUGAUGACCUUAGGGGCAGAUUCAUGGCCCUAGUGCCUUGUAAUUCCAUGCUCUUAGAGCAUUUCUUUUGCCCAACUGUUGAACUUUUAGACUGUGUUUUCUCAUGGCAUGGUUAUAUGCCUAUGACCUCUUUUAAGAGUUUCUGGAUGACUGUAACAGUUACCUUUUCUAUCGUUUUUGUUCAUCUGAGCGCUUCUCGUUAUUAUAACUGUGUGAUGCUUUAUUUAGUAGUGUAAUCUAUUAAAAUGGGACGUCACA